rnacentral:tRNA from 1 species
GUUUUAAUAGUUUAAAAAAAAUUUUGGUCUUGUAAAUCAAAGAUAAGAAAUUCUUUUAAAACA